GAUGAACGCUGGCGGCGUGCCUAACACAUGCAAGUCGAACGGAAACACAGUAAGAGCGUGCUCUUACGGGUAGCGAGUGGCGGGUGGGUGAGGAGUGCAUCGGAAUCUACUUUGUCGGGGGGGAUAACGGAGGGCAGCAGACGAUAAUAGAGCAUACGUUGUACGGGUGGGAUCAGGGGAUAUUGGGGGCUUGCGUGAUUGAAUGAGACGGUGUCGGCUUUGCUAGGUUGGGGGGUAAAGGCCCACCAAGGCGACGAUCCGUAGCUGGUCUGAGAGGAUGAUCGGCCACACUGGAACUGAGACACGGUCCAGACUCCUACGGGAGGCAGCAGUGGGGAAUAUUCCGCAAUGGGCGAAAGCCUGACCCAGCCACACCGCGUGAGUGAAGAAGGUCUUCGGGUCGUAAAGCUCUUUUGUUAGGAAAGAACAGCAGUAUGUUAAACUCCGGACGUCUUGACGGUACCUAAAGAAUAAGCACCGGCUAACUUCGUG
rnacentral:rRNA from 1 species